rnacentral:rRNA from 1 species
AUUGAACGCUGGCGGCAUGCUUUACACAUGCAAGUCGAACGGUAACAGGCCGCAAGGUGCUGACGAGUGGCGAACGGGUGAGUAAUGCAUCGGAACGUGCCCAGUCGUGGGGGAUAACGCAGCGAAAGCUGUGCUAAUACCGCAUACGAUCUAUGGAUGAAAGCGGGGGACCGUAAGGCCUCGCGCGAUUGGAGCGGCCGAUGUCAGGAUUAGGUAGUUGGUGGGGUAAAGGCCCACCAAGCCAACGAUCUGUAGCUGGGCUGAGAGGACGACCAGCCAAACGGGGACUGAGACCCGGCCCAGACUCCUACGGGAGGCAGCAGUGGGGAAUUUGGGACAAUGGGCGCAAGCCUGAUCCAGCAAUGCCGCGUGCAGGAAGAAGGCCUUCGGGUUGUAAACUGCUUUUGUACGGAACGAAACGGCGAGCUCUAAUACAGUUUGCUAAUGACGGUACCGUAAGAAUAAGCACCGGCUAACUACGUGCCAGCCGCCGCCGUAA